GUGGGCGUGCUAGAGUGGCUUAAUAGGCAGGUCUGCAAAAUCUGUAUUCCUCGGUUCGAAUCCGAGCGCCCACU
rnacentral:tRNA from 1 species